UACGAAGGGGGCUAGCGUUGCUCGGAAUCACUGGGCGUAAAGCGCACGUAGGCGGCUUCUUAAGUCAGGGGUGAAAUCCUGGAGCUCAACUCCAGAACUGCCUUUGAUACUGAGAAGCUUGAGUCCGAGAGAGGUGAGUGGAACUGCGAGUGUAGAGGUGAAAUUCGUAGAUAUUCGCAAGAACACCAGUGGCGAAGGCGGCUCACUGGCCCGAUACUGACGCUGAGGCACGAAAGCGUGGGGAGCAAACAGG
rnacentral:rRNA from 1 species